rnacentral:rRNA from 1 species
AGUGAACGCUGGCGGUAGGCCUAACACAUGCAAGUCGAACGGCAGCACAGUAAGAGCUUGCUCUUACGGGUGGCGAGUGGCGGACGGGUGAGGAAUACAUCGGAAUCUACUUUUUCGUGGGGGAUAACGUAGGGAAACUUACGCUAAUACCGCAUACGACCUACGGGUGAAAGCAGGGGAUCUUCGGACCUUGCGCGAUUGAAUGCGCCGAUGUCGGAUUAGCUAGUUGGCGGGGUAAAGGCCCACCAAGGCGACGAUCCGUAGCUGGUCUGAGAGGAUGAUCAGCCACACUGGAACUGAGACACGGUCAAGACUCCUACGGGAGGCAGCAGUGGGGAAUAUUGGACAAUGGGCGCAAGCCUGAUCCAGCCAUACCGCGUGGGUGAAGAAGGCCUUCGGGUUGUAAAGCCCUUUUGUUGGGAAAGAAAAGCAGCAGGUUAAUACCCCGCUGUUCUGACGGUACCCAAAGAAUAAGCACCGGCUAACUUCGUG